UUGAGCUAUUUUUAGAACAGGCCAGCGGGCUACUCAUCUGGUCCUUACGGGCUACCUGGUGCCCGCGGGCACCACGUUGGUGACCCCAGCGGUAUAUACUAUAUAGUCUAUAGCCUGUAUAGGCUAUUUUCGAAAACCGGUUUCGUUUAAAUUUGCACUUAACAGUUGGGUUUUUAAAAACCAAUAAACCCUAUAAUUUUCAUGUUGCCAUUUAAUCAACUACAGAACAUUUUAACUCGUAUCUUAACCUAGCCUCACUGGAAAGACUAUUUACAUAAUCAUACGCCAUUUAGAACAGUUUAAAAUGCCGUUAAACCUCGUUAAAUGCUUUUUCUGUCAAUGCUGUGUUCGCUGUGAGCUGGUUUGUUUUCAACGAAUUCAAUAUGGCGACCGGUUGCUAGGGAAUUGGUAGGCGGAAGUGACGUAGGUCCGCCCUCACUACCACUUGCGGGGGGGUCGGGGGGCUCUUGUUACAAAGCGGUAGCCCUUCUGGCGCUGAUCCAGUUAUCCAGCCCACCUAAGUAGUUAAGCAAUGGCAAAGACGUGGAGUGGGAUUGGAGGAGACUUGCCCUACACCUUUACAGCACAACCAGACCAACCGGAAUUUGUAAGGAAGUUGACCCAACUACCGUCUGGACAAUAACAUUAAGAUGUGUCACACCCAAUGCCUGAUUGAGUGAGGACAAGAGGACAGUCACCUACACAGGUGAAAACCUCCGUUACCUGGAAAAGG